UACGUAGGGUGCAAGCGUUAAUCGGAAUUACUGGGCGUAAAGCGUGCGCAGGCGGUGAUGUAAGACCGAUGUGAAAUCCCCGGGCUUAACCUGGGAACUGCAUUGGUGACUGCAUUGCUAGAGUAUGGCAGAGGGGGGUUGAAUUCCACGUGUAGCAGUGAAAUGCGUAGAGAUGUGGAGGAACACCGAUGGCGAAGGCAGCCCCCUGGGCCAAUACUGACGCUCAUGCACGAAAGCGUGGGGAGCAAACAGG
rnacentral:rRNA from 1 species